rnacentral:rRNA from 1 species
AGUGAACGCUGGCGGUAGGCCUAACACAUGCAAGUCGAACGGCAGCACAGUAAGAGCUUGCUCUUACGGGUGGCGAGUGGCGGACGGGUGAGGAAUGCAUCGGAAUCUACUUUUUCGUGGGGGAUAACGUAGGGAAACUUACGCUAAUACCGCAUACGACCUACGGGUGAAAGCAGGGGAUCCUCGGACCUUGCGCGAUUGAAUGAGCCGAUGUCGGAUUAGCUAGUUGGCGGGGUAAAGGCCCACCAAGGCGACGAUCCGUAGCUGGUCUGAGAGGAUGAUCAGCCACACUGGAACUGAGACACGGUCCAGACUCCUACGGGAGGCAGCAGUGGGGAAUAUUGGACAAUGGGCGCAAGCCUGAUCCAGCCAUACCGCGUGGGUGAAGAAGGCCUUCGGGUUGUAAAGCCCUUUUGUUGGGAAAGAAAAGCAGCAGGUUAAUACCCCGCUGUUCUGACGGUACCCAAAGAAUAAGCACCGGCUAACUUCGUG